UGGGGAAUUUUGGACAAUGGGCGCAAGCCUGAUCCAGCAAUGCCGCGUGCAGGAAGAAGGCCUUCGGGUUGUAAACUGCUUUUGUACGGAGCGAAAAGGCUCUCUCUAAUACAGGGGGCUCAUGACGGUACCGUAAGAAUAAGCACCGGCUAACUACGUG
rnacentral:rRNA from 1 species